rnacentral:tRNA from 1 species
GAGGUGAUAGCUCAGUGGUAGAGCGGAUGAUUGCAGUUAGCAAGUCUCAUCAGGUCACGUGUUCGACUCACGUUCGCCUCU